CUUGUACACACCGCCCGUCACACCAUGGGACGCGGGUUCUGCCAGAAGUAGUUAGCCUAACCGCAAGGAGGGCGAUUACCACGGCAGGGUUCGUGACUGGGGUG
rnacentral:rRNA from 1 species